UACCAAAACCCUUUUUUUAAUUAAGGAUGUGGUCUGAAUUCUUGAAUGCCCUGUCUGAGGUGUAUAACAAGGCAGCUGUUAAAACCUGUUAAAUAGAAACCUUCCAUUCCAUGUAUCAUGAACUUGCUCAGGCUAGUUGUGAUGAAAAGAACGUUUUUGUUUUUUUUAAUCAGAAAAAUUCCAGUUGAUGGUGCACUCAUCAUGUUUCACUAAAAUCAAAUGAUGACAAAUGGUGAGUGAGCCUGGGGAUGAGGUUAUAUAAAGGAGGUCUGAGGAGGAGAUUGGGCAUUCCUCUGAAACACCCGAGACACAUCACGAAGAGGUCAACCUGGUGCCGUGUCCACUGCUUCCAUCAUCAUGUCCAAACUGAUCUGUGGGCUUCUCCUCCUGGUCGUCGUGGACUCCUUUUGGUGCGACAGCAGAGUCUCUGCUCCCAAGAAGACCCAGGAAAUCCUAUGGCGUUGUGAGUGCAAAGGUAAGCAUGUCAAUUGCAUAAGCGCUCUUUAGGAAUAAAUGACAGUGUGGAAUCUAUGUAUUAAUGCAGUAUUCUUAUUGUAUUGCGACUAUAUGAAAGUAGGUUUCAUUGGAAGUAAAACGUGCCUGGAUAAUGAGAACAGCAGAAACAUCUGUGUUUGGAUUCUCUCUCUGUAGAUCACGCUCUGCCAACCUCAGGAAUGUGAAUGUUUUUUUUGACCAUUUGGCAUAGGGGUCCUCAUGGAAAUGUGAUCUGUGCUAGGUAGACACGCCUAUUAAUUUUUAUACCAGCUAACAACCAUCUUAACCAAGAGAAUUCUGGAAAGUUCACCCUAAGGACAACUCUGCUGCAUUAUUCCAAUAAAUACUGAAUGUUUUUUCUCCCUCGAUUUGAACAGGUUCCCUAUUACUGAAUCAUCACCAUAUGUAACAGCUAAAUUCUAACAACAGUGAUGAAUUGUGUUUGUCGACACCACUGCCUAAAUGCACCUAAUCACUGUAGUGUCCUGCAAACCCAGGAAAGACCAUUAGCACCGUCCAGCUUGUGUGACUGUGAUACCGUGGUGUAUCUGUCUCCAGAGAUGUCUAACCAAAGCACUUCGUUGGUUAAAUGGCUCUCUUUCUCUCCUCAGUUCUUCCCAAUGGAAGUGAGAUCUGCAUCAUGUCCAGACCCCAACGCAGAAAAAGAAAAUCAGUCAUGCCUUUGCAGCCAACAUCAUCUGCUUAGUAAGUAUACAUUUUUAGCAGUAAAGGAAGACCGAUGAACUGAGAUAAUAUGUUGAGAACAGUGUUUUUGGAGGUGCCAGGCCAAAUCAAUUGUGUUAUUUUGUGAAUGGAGUGUUCAUUUAAUAAUAUUGUAGAUGUGUCUGCCAGUUAGAUUGGAGUCAUGGCUGAUCAAAGGCAUGGCUUGGAUAUAGUUGUUUUAAGAAAAUAUGUUGCAAGCUACUUAUUUUGUUGCUUUCAAUUUUGAAAAUAAAUUGCUUGCUACUGUGUUUGGAUUUUUUAAUAAACACUGGGGUGAUGUGAUUUGCACUGUUACAAUAGUAGUUGAAGACUGAAGUGUCUGAUACGUGUGAAAUAUGCAGUUUUCAGUGGAACAAGUAUAUUACACAAACAAAAAUGUAAAGGGCAAAAUGUACUAUAUAUGUAGCAUGCAGUAAAUACUUUCAUUGCAUUACAUCAUCAUCAUCAGUUUUCUUUUUAGGUAAGUUGCAUUAUUCUUAGUGAAUUGUUUUGCUCUCCAUAACUCUGUCUGUCUGUCUUCCUUUCUGUGUAGAAUUCAAGGACAUGUCUGUCUUGGACAUCCAGAAGAAAUGCAAUCACACGCCAAAAUAUCCCAUUCCGAGCAAUCCCAUCGGAUUCCUGUGAGGAUGAAAGGGCUCCCUUUAUCUCUCUGUGCUGUUAGAAAUCGGCCGUUUCGUAUAGUGGUUGUAAUAAUUAGAUUACCCGUUUGUCAAGGGAGAGAGAAAUUAUAUUAUUUAUUGCAGCAUUAGAAAGUCUUGUUCAUGAGGUUACGGACCUGGUCUUCCUUACACAACCUCAAUCUCAUCUCACUCAAUCUAUUCUCACUGUAAUGUUGGUUACAAGCUGAUAUAUACAUUGAAGGGGGUGUCUACCUAGCAAAGAUCAGGUUUCCAAGACAGUUACCUCCAUGCCAAAUGGUCAAUGUAAACAUUCCUGUGGUUAGUAGAGCACAACCUACAGAGAGAUAAUCUACACAGAGAUGUUUCUGUUGUUCUCAUUAUCUAGGCGCAUUCACCUACAAUGAAACGUACAUUCACAUUGUAAUUGUUAAUGCUCAGAUACCACAAUGCCUUUCUGUCAAAUCCUUUUAAAUCAUUGUUAUACCUGCAGCAUUGAUUGAAAUAUGUAAAUUAAAUAAAGGUUUUCACCAUAUUGUCAAUGUAUUUGUGUUGAUCCACCAGCUUUGUAGACAAUAUUUACAUCUGCAAGUAGAAAAGAAUAUUGUACUCCGUAUGCAAAUAAAUGAUAAAGC
ensembl:lncRNA